ACUAUAUAAGGUGCUUUUUUAAAAGCUUAAUAGGGAAUCAGGUAUAAUCCUGAGCUACCCCAGUAACCGUGAUAUGGACGAAAUCUAUUUAAGCCACUGCUGUAUUUAGUGGGAAGGCUAGAAAGUAGGAUGAAAUUAAGCCGGGAGACCUGCCUUUUAUGGG
rnacentral:ncRNA from 1 species